ensembl:lincRNA Gm26671 predicted gene, 26671
CUUCUGGAUUUGUUCCAGAACCAACUUGAGGGAACACUUAACUGGGCCAUUGCUAACGACCCAAAGCCUUUCCUGGUGGCUGCCUUAACUCAUCGCUGGACCCUAGGGACAGAGAGUUAAGGUGUGACAACCAAGACUAACCAUCGGUUUACCACAGAUAUGUGAAAUCUGUUGGAGA